rnacentral:lncRNA from 1 species
UUCUAAUAAGUACCUUUGAUUGCAUCAUAUGUGUUGGAUGUGAGAAUAUUAGGUGCUGGAUCCGUAAUCAUAUAUAGGAUCCAUUCAUACUCUAGAACUAUUUGUAACUUCUGAUACCAAUUAUCGAAGUUGGAUCCUUUAAGUCAAUCACUGUCAAACAGUAAAAUAGCAACAGACAUCUAGCCAUAACUGAAAGAAAAACACAAGACCUCUAUAUUUAUGAAUUGAUUAAGUCUAAAGACUUGGACUUUAGUCUAAAGGUUCUUCCACUAUUUUAAUCAAAUUGAUAGCCUCUACCUUCAAUUUGAAAAAUUAUCUUAAUUUCUUAGUGGAUACUAGAAUCCACACAGAUUGUAUACAGGCUCGAGAAUGGCUCGAUCAACCUAUAUGCACCUAUAGAU